GUAACAAGGUUUCCGUAGGUGAACCUGCGGAAGGAUCAUUACUGAAGUUGAUCUGAGACUGCCGUUAUUGGUGUGCUCGAUCUUUUUCAUCCACACACACCUUUGUGCACCCUGGGGGGAUUGUUCCCCCCCUUUACAUACAUAAAAACCAGUUAUAUGCAUGUCAUUACAUACUCUAAGGAGUAAUUGUACAACUUUCAACAACGGAUCUCUUGGCUUUCGCAUCGAUGAAGAACGCAGCGAACGUGCGAAACGUAAUGUGAAUUGCAGAAUUCAGUGAAUCAUCGAAUCUUUGAACGCAUCUUGCGCUCCUUGGUAUUCCGAGGAGCAUGCCUGUUUGAGUGUCGUGUAAUACUCUCAAUUCUAAUCUUUGUGAUUGGAAUUGGACUUGGGUGUUGUUGUGUAUCACAACUCGUCCUAAAUGCAUUAGCGAUCUGGCUUUGAUCACACACAAUGUGAUAAUCACAAUACAUUGUUACAAUCUGAGUCAUGGUUGCUUCUAAUCCCCAUCUUAUGUCAUUUGACCUCAGAUCAGGCAGGACUACCCGCUGAACUUAAGCA
rnacentral:rRNA from 1 species